GCUUUGAUCAAUGCAUCUGGUUCAUGGAAAGAAUAAUUCAAAUUUUCACGGCCCUCUUUAAUUGGAAUGACGUUAAUGGAAUUGUAAUGAUUUUUUUUUUUUAUAUAUAUAAAUGUAUGUUGUUUCUGGUCCCGUGUCGGUGAAUUGUUCAGAACUGUUUUGAAUUUAUUUAAUUGUAUUUGAGUUGUUGUUUUUUUUUAGCCCUAUGUUCUGGGAGAAUUUGGAGGUUUUGUUAAGUGUGCAAUGAUGAGACAUGGCCUUAAGUAUGAAUGGACGGGAGCAGACGUUUCCAAGAUGGCGUAGAGAGACCUUCAUAUCAGUUUGUUUGUGACGUUUAUUUUUUUAUUUUUGUCUUUUUCCCCCAUUCGAUGUCCGCGGCCUCCCUACACCAAAGCCAUAGUGGUGAGUGCAACGUUGGGUCCGGCAUUUGCACAAACGCUUGCAUUUUCCAUCACGGCCCGGUCGACGUAUCUGCCUGCACCUCUGUGUGUGUGUGUGUGUGUGUCUGUGUGUGUAUACUGAGUAUUAUUCAUAUCCUAUCCCCCACUGAGCUUACUUUAAGUAAUGCCAAAUGCAUGUAAUUUCCCGUGAAGUCAGAACGGUCCAGAAAUGUGUUAUGAGAGUGCCACGAAUGUAUGGACGUGCUCUCGCUUUCAGUUCGACGUCUUUCAUUUUUUCGGCCAUUUUGAGGAAUCCAUUUUGCAGAGCGCAUCGAUCUCCUUCUUUGCGAUUGGUGCCCCGAAUUGAACAUGCUGUUUGGGGUAUUGAUUAAUUGAAUGUAAGCAUUUAGCGAACGUCUCUGAACGGUACCGAUUGUACACCCUUUUGCCUCUUUUGUGUGUGUGUGUGUGUGUGUGUGUGUGUGUGUGUGUGUGUGUGUGUGUGUGUGUGUGUGUGUGUGUGUGUGUGUGUGUGUGUGUGUGUGUGUGUGUGUGUGUGUCAGAGAAAGAGAAAGAGUGUGUGUGUCAGCCUACACAGUAUAAACAAUCAGCCAAGAGUGUUUAUGUCAAUGAAACAAAUGUGGUAUGGUCUGUUUUGUGUGUUUUGCGUGGGUGUGUUGAAGUUGUCAUCAUUCAAGGCACGAGCGGGACAGAGAGGAUGAUUCAGCAAUUGAGGUAUUCAGGGACAAAAGUGCAGGUGAAACACCUUCAUACAACCUUAUCGAUGAAGAUGCCUUGAACAUUUUCACAGUCCUGUCGUGCACCACCUACUCACCACCUGUAAUAAACCAUUUAACUGACACACAACGCUACCACAUGGUUGUUUAAAUUCAAGCUCGUAUAUGAAUCGGCCAACCGUCGCUCCCGUCCCAUAUGAAGAACAUAUGGUGAAGCUUUCAGGGUAUUUUUAGAUCUUUGUAUGUGAGGUUUGCUUAAAAAUAAAAAGUAAACGAUACCGUCUUCUUUAUUAAGAGAAGGCUUCUUUACAAGCUCACCGUUGUGACUCUGGUGUAGAGAUGAGUCAGAGUACAUUGAACAAAAGGUCCAGUGGAGGGCUUUGUUUGUUGCCAUGAUUUGAGGCGUUGGGGUAGCUUGGAAGAUAUCACUUUUGCCAUGGUGUUGCUUAAUUUAUCAUUUAAUCCUACAUGUAUUUAUUAUUUAAGGAUGGGGCCGAUGCCAGGUCAACUGUAGCAUCCUUAAGAUGGGCCGAUGACGUAAGGGGGUAGUGUUGAGUCGCGUGUGUGUGUAUGUGUCUGUGAGAAUAGUUGAAGCAUUGUUCACAUAUUAAGUUUUGUGUGUGUGACCAGAAUCUUAUUACAGGUUCACCAACUAGUUCAAUUCGAAUAAUCAUUAUACUCGAGCAAAUGAUUUUCAUGUUCAAGUAUGCAGCACGCAACAAGUAUACAAAACUUUUUUUUUGUGUCAAAUCAAUACAGAAGAUGUAGAUUCUUGUGCUUUUUAAAGUAUGGAUAUUUCAUUAAAUGACUCAAGCCUUGCCUUUGUCUCAAAAUCCUACAAUAAAAAAAAAGCAUGAUUUGGGAAACUGUUGAUCCUUUCAUCUUAUCCAAGAUCAAGUCAAGACAGUCCAAGAUCAGGUUCUUAUAAUACUGCUCUUAAAUCGAGGGUAGGCGGCAAGUUUUGAAGGUAUCAAAUUGUAAAAAUCCCUGCCCUCCCUAAUGGUCUGCUUCCAAAGCCACUCCCACAAGACCCCCGAAUAGCUCGCUAGCUUCAGUAAUGGGUCCGGUUAACCUUGUGGAAGACUACGGUCAUGCACAGUCAUGCAUAGCCAGGGUACGGGCUGGGGGCCUGCUGGUACUGGCUAGGUACUGUAUGUUGGUGGACUGACAGUUAGGCAAAUCUUUUAAUUCGGGCCAAAUUUAAUUAUUGGAAGGGCCUGUCACUGGACUGUGACAGCCACAGAUACCAGAUCUUUUCUUUAUUUUUAUCAGAUGAAAUCAUUUAUUGUUUGCGGUCGGGCUGUAAAGACACUUUCAACUAAUUUGAAAAAUAAUGCUUUUAAAAUAUAUUGCCUACUCUAGGUUAAAGAAUAGUUUUGGAUCACAACAACAUGAGAUGCUUACACAACCAACAGCUGUGGGGUAAUGUCUGAUGGAACGAAAUGUCCAAAGCACACAUAACUAAAGGGGAACUAAGGUUGGGUAAAUCAAAACCUUGGAUAAAUACACACUCACAGUAUGGAGACGGUAACCAAAACGCUGUCCAGCAAUAACGAUUCUUUCAUUUCAUUUUAGUCCCCAAAAAAAUUCAUAAAGGUCUAGCUUACAUUUCUUAACCAUUUCAUCAUGAAUGAGAGCAUUUGGCCCGUGGUUCCUAAAAGGUUUCGAUAAAAUAUCAACAAUGGGGUUCACGGGGGGGUAGUUGUCCCACCAUAGGUGAGCAUGGUACAGCAUGGUCUGGCCUAGUCUGUCGAGGCCACACUCCUUGAGCUGCCGUCCGUUAUGUCUUCUGUGUUUAACUAAGAUUUGCCUGUUCUGUUUUUGUCUUUUUUCGUAUUUAAGAGAUGUUAAUGUAUAAAGUUGCAUUAUUUGAAUAAAUAAUAUCCGCUGUUUAUGUCGUGGGUAUUCUUUCACACUUUGAACCGAUUGUCCGUGUAUCGCCCGUCAUCUUUUCAUCAUAGUUCAUCUCAAAGCUGCCCAGGCUUAUAUAAUACGCCCCCUGAGCUGACCCCAUCCCAGAAUCUAUAUAUAUAUAUAAAUG
ensembl:lncRNA